rnacentral:sRNA from 1 species
AUGCUGUAUGUGCUGAUAGAGUCAGAGAGGGCCCGGAUCAAGAAACUGCAGGAAGAGAAAACUAGAAACCUAGAAUCAUCUAGAAAACUAGAACCUAGAAUCGUCUCAGAACACAGAGGAGGCUUGAGGACUGAGCAGACUGACAUAGAUGUACUUGGACAACACCUCACCAAGGAGCAUGUCUCUUCCCACUCACAAUCCCUAAUACGAGAUUCACAAUGGUUCACGCUGAGUCCGCAGGAAAAAUUGGCCUGGGGUACAUCAUCUAAAGAUCCUAGGAUUGCUGCAGGUCAGCAGUCUCCACUGGAAAAAAAGAUCUUGAAUCUAGGUGGUGUGCAUACAACAGCAGCAAGACAGUUGAUAAUUCAGAAAUAUCAGGAGGAGUGUGAAAUACUCUGUAGGGAGCAAGCUGUUUCUCUUGACUACUGGCUUGCCAAAGCAGAGUCUUAUUAUAAUAAAAUAAUAGUGGAAAUGAUGAAAGAAGAGACAGGCAAUGAAAUCAAGAAAAAAAUGGAGGAGAAAACAACCCAAAGCGUAGAAGGACUAAAACAGUACUAUUUGGUACCUGAGAGAGAGAUGAAACACAUAGAAAGGCACAUAUAUCAAACAGGAAAGGCUGGAGAAUUUAAGAACAAAUCAUUUAGACAAGUACUACGACCCCCCAAUGAAACAAAAUUACCAAAAAUUAUGCCAGAAGGGCAUGGCAUCCAGAACGCACAGAGAAGAAAGCAGGUAAAUGAGAGGGAACAGAUGCAGACUAAGGAUCACCAGGAACGCAUGAUUCGAGGGAGAGAACUUACAGAGCAAAGACUCAAGGAAAGAAUCUUGAGAAGAAGCCAGAGCCAGCUACUUACGUAUGAGAAGCAUGAGAGAGUAAAGAAAGGGAUAAAGGACUUUGAAAGAGUUAUUGCUUAUCCUCUUCUCCAACCAUGCAGUAGAAGUCGGAUUAAAGUGAAUAUUCUUAUGGAAAAGUCUCAGAGUGGAGAGAAGGAGAAUACAAUUGUGAAACCAUAUCAAAGAAAAUUCUUGGCCAUGCCACCGUUUUUAAGAAGUCAAAUAGGAAAAAUAAGAGAUUAA